rnacentral:rRNA from 1 species
UAUGUAGGGUGCGAGCGUUAAUCGGAAUUACUGGGCGUAAAGCGUGCGCAGGCGGUUUUGUAAGUCAGAUGUGAAAUCCCCGGGCUUAACCUGGGAACUGCGUUUGAAACUACAAGGCUAGAGUGUAGCAGAGGGGGGUGGAAUUCCACGUGUAGCAGUGAAAUGCGUAGAGAUGUGGAGGAACACCGAUGGCGAAGGCAGCCCCCUGGGUUAACACUGACGCUCAGGCACGAAAGCGUGGGGAGCAAACACG